rnacentral:rRNA from 1 species
UGGGGAAUAUUGCGCAAUGGGGGGAACCCUGACGCAGCCAUGCCGCGUGAAUGAAGAAGGCCUUAGGGUUGUAAAGUUCUUUCGGUAUUGAGGAAGGUUGAUGUGUUAAUAGCACAUCAAAUUGACGUUAAAUACAGAAGAAGCACCGGCUAACUCCGUGCCAGCAGCCGCGGUAAUACGGAGGGUGCGAGCGUUAAUCGGAAUAACUGGGCGUAAAGGGCACGCAGGCGGUUAUUUAAGUGAGGUGUGAAAGCCCCGGGCUUAACCUGGGAAUUGCAUUUCAGACUGGGUAACUAGAGUACUUUAGGGAGGGGUAGAAUUCCACGUGUAGCGGUGAAAUGCGUAGAGAUGUGGAGGAAUACCGAAGGCGAAGGCAGCCCCUUGGGAAUGUACUGACGCUCAUGUGCGAAAGCGUGGGGAGCAAACAGGAUUAGAUACCCUGGUAGUCCACGCUGUAAACGCUGUCGAUUUGGGGGGUGGGGUUUAACUCUGGCGCCCGUAGCUAACGUGAUAAAUCGACCGCCUGGGGAGUACGGCCGCAAGGUUA